GAUGAAGAACGUAGCGAAAUGCGAUAAGUAAUGUGAAUUGCAGAAUUCAGUGAAUCAUCGAAUCUUUGAACGCACCUUGCGCCCUUUGGCAUUCCGAAGGGCAUGCCUGUUUGAGUAUCAUGAACACCUCAACUCUUCAUGGUUUUCCAUGAUGAGCUUGGACUUUGGGGGUCUUGCUGGCCUGCGGUCGGCUCCUCUCAAAUGAAUCAGCUUACCAGUGUUUGGUGGGCAUCACAGGUGUGAUAACUAUCUGCGCUUGUGGUUUUCCACCAAGUAACCUUCAGCAGUGGAGGUUCACUGGAGCUCACAGACGUCUCUCCUCAGUGAGGACAGCCCUUUGAAUGUUUGAUCUCAAAUCAGGUAGGACUACCCGCUGAACUUAAGCAUAUCAUAAGCGGAGGA
rnacentral:misc_RNA from 1 species